AACGAACGCUGGCGGCAGGCUUAACACAUGCAAGUCGAGCGCCCCGCAAGGGGAGCGGCAGACGGGUGAGUAACACGUGGGAGUCUGCCCAUCCCUACGGAACAACUCCGGGAAACUGAAGCUAAUACCGUAUACGCCCUUCGGGGGAAAGAUUUAUCGGGGAUGGAUGAGCCCGCGUCGGAUUAGCUAGUUGGUGGGGUAAAGGCCUACCAAGGCGACGAUCCGUAGCUGGUCUGAGAGGAUGAUCAGCCACACUGGGACUGAGACACGGCCCAGACUCCUACGGGAGGCAGCAGUGGGGAAUAUUGGACAAUGGGCGCAAGCCUGAUCCAGCCAUGCCGCGUGAGUGAUGAAGGCCUUAGGGUUGUAAAGCUCUUUCGCCAGGGACGAUAAUGACGGUACCUGGAUAAGAAGCCCCGGCUAGCUUCGUGCCAGCCGCCGCCGUAAAAC
rnacentral:rRNA from 1 species